CCGACCUUAGCUCAGUUGGUAGAGCGGAGGACUGUAGUGAGGCAACAUCUCAGUUAUCCUCAGGUCGCUGGUUCGAAUCCGGCAGGUCGGA
rnacentral:tRNA from 1 species